CGCUGGACAAGAUGGCGGCUCCCGGCAGCCUCAGCGCCGCGGGGGAGGAGCAGCGCCCCCUGGCGGGCUGCACCUACUAAGACCUCAGUUUGAUUCAAAGCUUCCAGUUACUACAAGCAACUACAGUAUAUGCAGGUUGCAUGAACCUACACAGAACUGAUGAGUUAAGCCUUGACCAGAAGAUCAAUCAGGUCUGGAAAUGGAAACUAAAUCUACAUUUGGCUCUUGGCUGUGUUGGCAAGUGGUAAGAAAAGCAAACAACUCUGCCUGAAACAACGCUGAUUUCUGUGAUUGAAAACAAGCAAAGCUCCGUCUCAAAGUGAUCCUCCAUAUUCACUGAUCUUAAUUAAAUCUGGGACCUUUUAUAGCUCAGGAUGAUGCAGUGACACUGAGUUUAGCUAUGAAAAAACCCAAAAGUUGCAAGAUGUGUUUGACAAUCACUGUCUGAGAAUGUUUCUCAUUUCAGUUGUCUAGAUGAAUGGAAACAGCUGGUAUUAGCUAAUGUUUAGGAUUCUUACUUGCCUAAACAACAUUUACCAAAUGGAAAUCAUCUGAAUAAUAUGGAAUCAUGUCUCCUUUGUACCUUUAUUUCUUCUGUGUCAGAAUUUAGCAAAUGUCUACAGAAAAAAAA